AGGGGGCUUAAACCCGGCUGCCGCAGGCUGGGACCUGGGUCUCCCUCCGGACGGUGGUGCCCUAGACCCCACCGGACCCCGCUGGACCCCGCUGGACCCCCUACAGGGACCCGGUCUGGUUACAGGCCCAUAGAUUUUAACAGGACAGGGUCCGGCUGAAGACCAUUUCUAUUAAAACGAGGUGGACGCGAAAGGGGCGGCUGCUCUUCUCCACACUCCGGGAAACAGAAGCACCGUGUCCCCGCAAGGCCCCGAAGGCCCCACGCGCCGGUCACCCCGGAAACGCAUCCGGGGCUGGGCCCGGCUCGCAGGUUCGCGGUGAGACGCUGCCCCCUGCCGGCCGCGCGCGGCGCUCCCGGAGCUGGGGAGCUAGCUCCUCCCGGAAACCCGGUGCUCGGCGCUGUGCUGCUUUGGUGGAAGAGGCGGCAGGACCAGGACCCCGCGCCGGCCUCAGGCCUCGGAGCCCAGCAUCUCCAGGAGGUCUGAGGGAAGAGCCUCGUCAGCGGGGUGGGCACCAGGCACGGGGGUAGGCAUCAGACAUCAGGGUGCAUCGGGCAUCAUCAGGUGGCACAGGGUGUCAGGGUGCAUCGGGAAUCAGGUGUGCCUAGGACAUCAUCGGGGGACACAAAGCAUCAGGGAACAUCGAACACCAUCAGGUGUACACCGGGCAUCAUCAGUAACAGAACGGUUUGUUUCAGAAGGGAACAGAUAAAAAGGGAUCCUGUAUUUCCAACUGCCUGCUGGCAGGGACCCACAGAGCAGACCUGUCAAUAACGCACUGUCACUGCCUUCCACGAGCAUGGCCUUAGCUUCUGGGUGUGUGUUUCUGCUGUAUCUCGCCCACUUCACUGCUACCUCCUUAGAAACAAACCUU